GAUGAACGCUGGCGGCGUGCCUAAUACAUGCAAGUCGAGCGGAAGGACGAGACGCUUGCUUCUUUCACGUUAGCCGCGGACGGGAGUGUCACACGUGUAUACCCUCCCUAUAAGUCUGGGAUAACCUCGGGAAACCGGCGCUAAUCCCGGAUAAUAUCUUGCACCGCAUGGUUCAAAGGUGAGAGACGGUGUUGCUGGAUCUACUCGCUGGUUACGGGCUGCAUUAGCUGGUUGGUAAGGUAACAGCCUACCAAGGCAACGAUGCCUAGCCGACCGGUGGGGGUGGUCGGCCACACGGGAACUGAGACGCGGACCAGACUCCUACGGGAGGCAGCAGUAGGGAAUCUUCGGCAGUGGGCGGAAGCCUGACAGAGCAACGCCGCGUGAGUGAUGAAAGUCUUCGGAUCGUAAAACUCUGUUAUUAGGGAAGAACAGAUGUGUAAGUAACUGUGCAGUGCGUGACGGUACCGGAUCAGAAAGCCACGGCUAACUACGUG
rnacentral:rRNA from 1 species